rnacentral:rRNA from 1 species
AAAUUGAAGAGUUUGAUCAUGGCUCAGAUUGAACGCUGGCGGCAGGCCUAACACAUGCAAGUCGAACGGUAACAGGAAGAAGCUUGCUUCUUUGCUGACGAGUGGCGGACGGGUGAGUAAUGUCUGGGAAACUGCCUGAUGGAGGGGGAUAACUACUGGAAACGGUAGCUAAUACCGCAUAACGUCGCAAGACCAAAGAGGGGGACCUUCGGGCCUCUUGCCAUCGGAUGUGCCCAGAUGGGAUUAGCUUGUUGGUGGGGUAACGGCUCACCAAGGCGACGAUCCCUAGCUGGUCUGAGAGGAUGACCAGCCACACUGGAACUGAGACACGGUCCAGACUCCUACGGGAGGCAGCAGUGGGGAAUAUUGCACAAUGGGCGCAAGCCUGAUGCAGCCAUGCCGCGUGUAUGAAGAAGGCCUUCGGGUUGUAAAGUACUUUCAGCGGGGAGGAAGGGAGUAAAGUUAAUACCUUUGCUCAUUGACGUUACCCGCAGAAGAAGCACCGGCUAACUCCGUGCCAGCAGCCGCGGUAAUACGGAGGGUGCAAGCGUUAAUCGGAAUUACUGGGCGUAAAGCGCACGCAGGCGGUUUGUUAAGUCAGAUGUGAAAUCCCCGGGCUCAACCUGGGAACUGCAUCUGAUACUGGCAAGCUUGAGUCUCGUAGAGGGGGGUAGAAUUCCAGGUGUAGCGGUGAAAUGCGUAGAGAUCUGGAGGAAUACCGGUGGCGAAGGCGGCCCCCUGGACGAAGACUGACGCUCAGGUGCGAAAGCGUGGGGAGCAAACAGGAUUAGAUACCCUGGUAGUCCACGCCGUAAACGAUGUCGACUUGGAGGUUGUGCCCUUGAGGCGUGGCUUCCGGAGCUAACGCGUUAAGUCGACCGCCUGGGGAGUACGGCCGCAAGGUUAAAACUCAAAUGAAUUGACGGGGGCCCGCACAAGCGGUGGAGCAUGUGGUUUAAUUCGAUGCAACGCGAAGAACCUUACCUGGUCUUGACAUCCACGGAAGUUUUCAGAGAUGAGAAUGUGCCUUCGGGAACCGUGAGACAGGUGCUGCAUGGCUGUCGUCAGCUCGUGUUGUGAAAUGUUGGGUUAAGUCCCGCAACGAGCGCAACCCUUAUCCUUUGUUGCCAGCGGUCCGGCCGGGAACUCAAAGGAGACUGCCAGUGAUAAACUGGAGGAAGGUGGGGAUGACGUCAAGUCAUCAUGGCCCUUACGACCAGGGCUACACACGUGCUACAAUGGCGCAUACAAAGAGAAGCGACCUCGCGAGAGCAAGCGGACCUCAUAAAGUGCGUCGUAGUCCGGAUUGGAGUCUGCAACUCAACUCGACUCCUCCAUGAAGUCGGAAUCGCUAGUAAUCGUGGAUCAGAAUGCCACGGUGAAUACGUUCCCGGGCCUUGUACACACCGCCCGUCACACCAUGGGAGUGGGUUGCAAAAGAAGUAGGUAGCUUAACCUUCGGGAGGGCGCUUACCACUUUGUGAUUCAUGACUGGGGUGAAGUCGUAACAAGGUAACCGUAGGGGAACCUGCGGUUGGAUCACCUCCUUA